UCCAGCAAGCAACAGGCAGAGGUUUUGGUGACAAAGAUUUUCGGUCUGGAUUAGAAAAUGGUAUUCUGCUGUGUGAGUUGCUGAAUGCAAUAAAGCCUGGACUGGUAAAAAAGAUCAAUAGACUGCCGACCCCUAUUGCAGGCUUGGCUAUAAUGGGGAAUCAUGAAAACACUUAACACUUGGACAUCUCUUGCCUGACUUGGAUGAAAAUUGUAGGAAUGGUGGCCCUUUCUGACAACAUGAAGCCUGCCAAGUUUCAAGGAGACAGGUGUAGAGGUUUCUGGGAAACUGCACCUCAAACUCUUCAAAACACAACUCCUGACACUUGCCAACAGCAGACCUGCAGCCCUCCCAGGGGUGGAAGCCUCCGUAUCUGCGCACUGGAUGGGAGGAGGCUGCCACUGUUGCCUGGGACCAGCGCUGGGCACAGCCCACGCCCGGCAUCAGAGAAGACUGCUGCUGCCGCGCAGCCCCCUUUCAUCCAGCUCCCGGAUCCGGAGGCUCACACCACCAGGAGGAGUCUGGCGCAGCCCUCGCAGGGGUGGAAGCCCCUGUAUCUGCACACUGGAUGAGAGGAGGCUGUCUCUUCCACCUGGGACCAGUGCUGGGCACAGGCUGGGACCAGUGCUGGAGAAAAUUGCUGCUGCGGUAGCCUCCUC